AGAGCAGCAGCUGGUGUGGCAGGAGCAGCUGGCCCUAAAGCCAACUAAUUGGGAGGACCUGGGAUCAGGGGCAGCCCUGUCGUCAAUCAAACUGGCCUCUGCAUAAGUCACAAAGAUCAUGGAAAUCAAAGAAUCCGUGUUCUCUGCAAUCUCCAUGACAGGCAUGGAGCUAAUUAUAAGAAAAUACAAAGGAAUGUUUGCUUUUUGUAUGUGCUUCUGUUGAUACAACAUUACAGAUUUUGCUGAGACAGUUUGUAAAUACAAAAUCCUUCACCUUUGAAGAUAGCAGGUAAAAAAGAAGUUGGUAGCUUUACAGUGUAUUAAGUUGAACCCUCCCCCCAUUUCCAAAAAGAGAAGCUUAGAAGUAAAAAACCAAAACCACCAGAGGACAACGGUAAGAAGAAUAAUCUAAGAAUUCAAUGAGCCAGUGAGGAGGACAAUAAUACACAUAUAAAAAUGCUUCUACUUUUGCAGAGUUUAAAACCAACUUGUUCUUAUGCCAAGAAACGAAUAUCUACUCAUCAGCAUUUGAAUAAUGCAUCAGAAUCCGGGACUGAGGGGUGAGCCAUGGCACCAGAGCCAGCCGCCAGAGCUCAGGGGACCUGAAGACACACCAAGAUCCAGGAAGACCUCAUGCGCCAGAAAUGUCAGCAUCCUGUGCAACAUGCGGCAAACCCUGGCACAGAAGAUACGCGAUAAUGCUGAGGAACCAUACUUGGGACCAGGUCAUGCAGCAGUGUGAAAAUGUGUACAUGAUGGCAUCCCUGCCUGCUGCCGCUGCUCCUUGCUUCCAU